CAUGAGAUCCACCUGGCCCUGCUUCCCAGGUGCAGGGAUUAGAGAGUGCUGGAAUUAAGAGGCAUGUGUCACCACCAUUCCUGGCUCAUUGUUCUCUUCAUGACUGCCUUCCUGACUGGGUCUCUCGAGGAAUCGUGUCACAGAACAGAUGGAGGCAGGAGAAUUCCAAGAAGCCGGAAGGGGUAGCUAGUUGGGAAGAUGCAGAAAACAAAAACAAAAACAAAAAACAAACAAAAAACCCCAAACAAACAAAAAACCCAAAACAAACACAAAGUCCCAAUUUACAAACAAGAGUCAUGAACUGACACCUAAGGUUGUCCUCUAACCUACACACACAUACUGCAACAGGGGCAUGCCCACAUUCACACACAUAAAUGUGUUGUGAACAUACACACAAAUACCACCGAGGUUGUAAAUCACAUUCUUUCUGAAAAGUAAAUAAAUUCAUCACAGUCAUCACAAACAUUUUCUUUUAAAUUUUUUUAUUAAGAGAUUUUCUAUUCAUUUUACAUAUCAACCACAGAUUCCCCUGUCCUUCCUCCUCCCACUCCCAGCCUUUCCCUCCAAACCCCCCACCUCCUCCAAUGCAAGGUCUCCCAUGGGGAGUCUGCAGCAUCAUGAGCAUUUUCAAGGAUUUCCUGGAACUGGCUAUGAUUUCAUCUCUUGGCCCUUAGUAAAUUCACUUUUGAUGAUGAUUGCAGAGCAUCACCCACUGUUAACAUGUAUGACCAUACAUUUUCUUGUUGUACCAUACAGUAAUACUUCAUCUAACAUGAGUUUGUCUUUUAUUAAUUGUACAAGUCUUCUCCUUCACCUACCAUCAUGGGAACACCAUCAGCAACUGUAUCAGAAAUACUGACAGCAGACAAAGAAAAUUGCUUUAACAUUUUCUUACUACUUUCUAUAAAUAUUUUGAUUUAGUUGUAUCUUUGAAUGACAUUAGAGAAGCCAUCU